GUGCUUGCUUUGGCAGCACAUAUACGAAAAUUGGAAUGACACAGAGAAGAUUAGCAAGGCCCCUGCACAAGGAUGACAUGAAAUUUGUGAAGUGUUCUAUUUUUCU